GACCUCAUCAACCAGAAGGGAUUCCUUCCUAUUGAUGGGGUGAAAAGGCCUCAUUGACCAGAAGGAAUUCCUUCCGGUUGAUGAGGUG
rnacentral:miRNA from 1 species